CAACUCCCUCAAUCAAACAUCUUGCCACAACUCCUGAGGAAAGUAAUCUAAGUCUGACAAUUAGUGAUGGAGAAAUAAAAGACAACUGUGCUCUACUUCAUAUUGUUAUAUACAUCUUGGGAGGAUCAUUAGGUGCAAUGAUUAUGGGCCUAGUUGCAGUAACAGUUUCGUACAAGUGCUUACAACAUAACACAGAUAGAGCAGGGGACGCUGACAUGGCAGAUGGAGUGUCAGUGACUGCAAUGCACCAGAAGGACUCGAACACGAGCCUCUUUACGC